rnacentral:rRNA from 1 species
AGGAGGUUGGCUUAGAAGCAGCCAUCCUUUAAAGAAAGCGUAAUAGCUCACUGGUCGAGUCGUCCUGCGCGGAAGAUGUAACGGGGCUAAGCCAGUCACCGAAGCUGCGGAUAUGUCUUAUGACAUAUGGUAGGAGAGCGUUCUGUAAGCCUGCGAAGGUGUCUUGUAAAGGAUGCUGGAGGUAUCAGAAGUGCGAAUGCUGACAUGAGUAGCGAUAAAGAGGGUGAGAGACCCUCUCGCCGAAAGACCAAGGGUUCCUGCGUAAAGCUAAUCUGCGCAGGGUUAGUCGGCCCCUAAGGCGAGGCCGAAAGGCGUAGUCGAUGGGAAUCAGGUGAAUAUUCCUGAACCAGUUGGAAGUGACGGAUCUGGUAAAUUGUCAGGGCUUAUUGGAUUGCUCCUGGCAGUGAACAGGUCCCUGGAAAUAACUCCAACGGAGACCGUACCCGAAACCGACACAGGUGGGCAGGUAGAGUAUACCAAGGCGCUUGAGAGAACCGCGUUGAAGGAACUCGGCAAAAUACCCCCGUAACUUCGGGAUAAGGGGGCCCUUGCAUUGGGCAACCAGUGUGAGGGGGCACGGAAACGAGGGUGGCGACUGUUUACUAAAAACACAGGGCUCUGCGAAGUGGCUAACACGACGUAUAGGGUCUGACGCCUGCCCGGUGCCGGAAGGUUAAUUGAUGGGGUU